rnacentral:rRNA from 1 species
AGGUCUUCGGACUGAGUAAAGCGGCGGACGGGUGAGUAAUGCAUCGGAACGUGCCCAGUCGUGGGGGAUAACGCAGCGAAAGCUGUGCUAAUACCGCAUACGAUCUAUGGAUGAAAGCGGGGGACCUUCGGGCCUCGCGCGAUUGGAGCGGCCGAUGUUAGAUUAGGUAGUUGGUGAGGUAAAGGCUCACCAAGCCUACGAUCUAUAGCUGGUCUGAGAGGACGACCAGCCACACUGGAACUGAGACACGGUCCAGACUCCUACGGGAGGCAGCAGUGGGGAAUUUUGGACAAUGGGCGAAAGCCUGAUCCAGCAUUACCGCGUGCAGGAAGAAGGCCUUCGGGUUGUAAACUGCUUUUGUACGGAACGAAACGGCCUGGAUUAAUACUCUGGGCUAAUGACGGUACCGUAAGAAUAAGCACCGGCUAACUACGUGCCAGCAGCCGCGGUAAUACGUAGGGUGCAAGCGUUAAUUCGAAUUACUGGGCGUAAAGCGUGCGCAGGGGGUUUUUGUAAAACAGGCGUGAAAUCCCCGGGCUCAACCCGGAAAUUGCGCUUGUGACUGCAAGGCUAAAAUACGGUAAAGGGGGGAGAAAUUCCCCGGGGUGCCCGGAAAUGCCUUAAUUUUCCGGAAGAAACACCAUGGGGGAAGGAAGCCCUCUGGACCUUGUCUGGCGCUCUUGCCCAAAAAGGGGGGGGGGAAACAGGAAUAAAUUCCCCGGGAGUCCCCCCCCUCAA